GGAGAACCUUCUGGCAGCUGAAGGAUGGUCAUAGGCUCUAGGCAAGGUGGAUUUUUAAGAAUAAAUGGUUAUCUGUUUGAGGAUAAUAAAUGGCAAAUGAGUGUUUGACAGUAGGCUCCUGGCUCAGUGGAGAUCCUAGGUGCACGUUAUAUCUUGCUAAUUGAGGAACUGGAAGAAGCAGCUGUGUCAGCAUUGUGUUCUACCUUUGCUACUUAGCUCAUGCCAGUACAUGGCUGAGUGCACAGAAUGUGGAAGAGCAUGGUAUCAUUGGGACUUUCCUGUUUUAGAGGAAGAGUGAAGGGUAUAAGGCUUGAAGCAGCACAAAAGGACAGAAGUCAGAUGUAGUAGGAAGUCUGAAAUGGACAUCAGAGGACUAAUGUGCUAGAUUGUGUAAGGAUUUGGAAUAGCUGCUUCAGGAACAGGAAGAAAGAGUCCUACACUGAAGAAUUUUGAAAUGAAAUAACACUGGCACAGAAAAGAAUCAAUGUAAUGAGUGUGUGAGGAAGGCAAUAAAUGGAUUGUAAAGCUGUACAACUAAUGAUGUUUAACCUCUAUUGCAAAUGUAGUGAACUGUUUUCCUGAUUAUUAAAUUAAUGGUCUAAUUUCAAUAUUUCUAACUUCACUACAAAGGUGAGAAACUGUUAUCUGAUUAAGAAAGCAAGUACUUCUCAUGCAAUGUAAAAUUACAAAUAUUUUGUUCCUCUUACUGAUAUAUUACUUAAUAUGAGAAGUUAGAAUUCAGUGCAUGUGUUCCUCCAUCCACAUAUCUUUAUUUGGUAUGUGGAAAAAAAGGAAAAGAUGUUUCUUUCCUGAAAGUAUAUCAAAUCAAAAAAUUCACAUAUUGCUGCUGCUUUGUUAAUAGGCUUAUGUCAAGUAAACUAGGUGUAGAGAAAGCCAGUGGAUUAGAUACCUGAAUGCUCAUAAUUGUUAACGUUAUAAGAUGACUGUUACUUGAAACAAGAAUUAGUUACCAGUAGAGGGUGUUUUCUUUUUUUGUAUAUUAAGACUUUAAAAAAAAAAAUCCUAUACCCAAAUUUGGGGGAUAUUUUGAAGCUGAUGGAUUAAACAACCUCAAGCAUGUCUGAGGUCAUGUGACAGAUCAGAGUAAAACUUAGGGUCCUAGGCUUCCGGAGUUUCCAUUAAGCUUAUCACUUUAGGGCCUUUUGAGUAUGAACUUGGAGAACUAUUUUCUUUUUUCUGUGGGAGAUAUUUGUAUUUGAAGAUUUUUCUCCCUCAGUCCUUCCUGUUCAUCAAUUGAAUAAUCCUAUUGUUUCUUCUUUAUUGGUCACUUCUUUAUUGGUUAUUAUCUGAACCAGUGACAACUUGUGCUGCCAUCUUUUGCACUGCGAUGCUAUUGAGUUGCAUCUCCCUUGGUAGACAAUAUUCUAUCUUAGGUCUUAUCAGUGCUGCAGAGAGCAAAAAGACACCAUGCAUCUGGCAGUCAAUGCUCAUGUUUAUGUAUCCCACUAUGAUGAUUGCCCUUUUGGAACAGCGUGACAUUUUCUUCUGUUCUCUGAUGCAGCUAUUCAAAUAGAUACUCUAAGGAAAUAUUUGAGUCACAGAUAACACAAAAGAACAUGAUUAACUGCAUUCAAUUUACAGUGUCCACAGACAAAGAACCUUUAGUUUUUCAGGGCUUUUUUUAUGUACAAGUAGUUAUCUAAGUAACUUCAGGCCUUAUCAUUCCAUUCUGCUAUUAAUUCCCUCUUAAUGAACAAGUAUUUUGGUUUCUCAAAUGCUGUCUCUGAUUUAUAUAUUGGAAACUGAUUUAAUUCUAUACUAGCCUAAAUUGUGAUGCCUAAUUGGUACUAUUAAAGGUACAUAUUUAAACCACAAUACUCUAAACAGAGAUCCUACAUUAUGGAGUAGAGGAAUGAAGAGGGGCAGACCUGUGGUAAACUCAGGUCAUUUUCUGGAGGGAAGAUAUGUAUGUUAUGAAGGCCAUUAGGAUAAUGUUGCACAGUCUGGUAGUUCCCUCAGUGUUUCUCAUCUUGACGAAGGGUAGAGAUUAAAGAAAAAAUGGUGGCAUUUUGUUACUACUGUGAAAUUACUGAAAAAUUCUAUACUAUUUUUCCUAAUCUAGGAGUCUGAAGCUAGUGCUCUGCUGCUAAUUGCAUUUGUGGUAUAAUGUGGUAAUAAACUAACAUUGUGUCCAUGGUAUGUAAUGUAAUGUUAUCUGAGUAGCUCAGGCAUUAGUUGGUACAUAGUAAAGGCUCAGUGCACUAUGUCUUUCCCUCCUUGUAUGAUUUUUCCGUUAUUUCUCCCUCACAAUACCUCUUAUUACCCUCAUAUCUCUUCCCUUCUUUUCACCGGUAUUUUGUUAACGUUAGCUUGGUUAUUCUUAUGCUUGGAUAGAAUGGGAGUUGAGAAUUUCUGAUUGGUCACUGAAGUUGGGAGAAUUAUUAUUAAGCCAGCUGGAAAUAUGUUAUGAAUAAAUGAUUUCCAUCUCAGAUUAAUUCUUUUAAGUAAAAAGUUAUCACUUGAAGAAAAUGUGCAUAAUGCCUAGAAGUAAAUGAGGUAAACUCUAUUUCCAUUGUGUAGUCAAAAGAGCAGAAGUGAACACAGCCUGACUUUUCUCUUGGCAGUUAGUAAUCUAGUUUACUUGUAAAACUGAGUGAUGAGCAGGUCUCUUUAUAUUUUUCUUUCUCCUUUGACCUUGUAAUGUAAUCAGAUGGUAGACUGAGAUUUUUAAAUGGUCAGGUGAUGGGCUCUUGCUGUGAAACUGAGUGCAAUCUGAAUUUGGUGCUUUUUUUUCUACAUAGCGUUACAGACCAGCUUCAUUGAAAUCUGAUCACAUAAGAGUUAAUGGCUUUUCCCCCACCCAUUGGACAAAGAACAACUUCUGGUGCAUUUAAAAUAUUCAUUACACAACUACUGAAGCAUUCCCUGUGUCCUAAAUGGUUAGAAAAUUGGUUGGAAACAACCUAUUGAACAAAGCAGUCACUCAUUCACUCUACUUCAUGUAACUUAGGAAAAAAAAAAAAGAAAAAAAAUUGCCCAAGCCAUUGCUUUUAUAAACCAUUUAAUACAGUUUAUGAUAGCAAUAAUCCCCUUGAAAUUGAUUAUAUUACUGUAGUUUGUUAUAGUGUUAACUGCCCUUGUCUUCAGCUUGGUCCAUUAACUGAAAAUCCAGCCAUUAUCUUAUAAUGGGAUGAUUCCUCCAGGAUUAUUACCUUACUUUUAGUUUGUUGAAGAUUAAUAUUCUUGUAGGACAGUGAAACAGUGUCAAAAUUUGUAAUAAAUAAAUCCAGUUUUACU